GACCAAGGACACUCCCCGUCUCAGUCUGCUUUUGGUGAUUCUGGGUGUCAUUUUCAUGAAUGGCAACCGUGCCAGCGAGGCUGUCCUCUGGGAUGCACUCCGCAAGAUGGGACUUCGUCCUGGGGUGAGGCACCCUUUCCUUGGUGAUCUGAGGAAGCUCAUCACAGAUGAAUUUGUGAAGCAGAAGUA